UACGAAGGGUGCAAGCGUUAAUCGGAAUUACUGGGCGUAAAGGGUGCGUAGGCGGUUCGUUAAGUCUGUCGUGAAAUCCCCGGGCUCAACCUGGGAAUGGCGAUGGAUACUGGCGAGCUAGAGUGUGUCAGAGGAUGGUGGAAUUCCCGGUGUAGCGGUGAAAUGCGUAGAGAUCGGGAGGGACAUCAGUGGCGAAGGCGGCCAUCUGGGACAACACUGACGCUGAAGCACGAAAGCGUGGGGAGCAAACAGG
rnacentral:rRNA from 1 species